rnacentral:rRNA from 1 species
GACGAACGCUGGCGGCGUGCCUAAUACAUGCAAGUCGAGCGGACAGAUGGGAGCUUGCUCCCUGAAGUCAGCGGCGGACGGGUGAGUAACACGUGGGCAACCUGCCUGUAAGACUGGGAUAACUUCGGGAAACCGGAGCUAAUACCGGAUACGUUCUUUCCUCGCAUGAGGAAAGAUGGAAAGCUGGUUUCGGCUAUCACUUACAGAUGGGCCCGCGGCGCAUUAGCUAGUUGGUGGGGUAAUGGCCCACCAAGGCGACGAUGCGUAGCCGACCUGAGAGGGUGAUCGGCCACACUGGGACUGAGACACGGCCCAGACUCCUACGGGAGGCAGCAGUAGGGAAUCUUCCGCAAUGGACGAAAGUCUGACGGAGCAACGCCGCGUGAGCGAAGAAGGCCUUCGGGUCGUAAAGCUCUGUUGUCAGGGAAGAACAAGUGCCAGAGUAACUGCUGGCACCUUGACGGUACCUGACCAGAAAGCCACGGCUAACUACGUGCCAGCCGCCGCGGUAACAC